AUUGUUCAGAAAUGAGCCGUACAGGCCGACGGAGGAGAAGUCUGGCCUUUUCGCCGAGACCAGCCGGUCGCUAGAGGGAUUCUGUUGCCUACAUAUCCGGGACCCUCCAAUUAAAGCGGCUGAAGGCUCCCGCAAGGGUUUGGUCGGUACUGUACCC